rnacentral:lncRNA from 1 species
UCUGUCUCAGUAAUCUAAGAAAAGCUCGGAUGUUUCCGAGGUUGCUAAUGGGUUAACUAUUGUUGGGUGCCUUAGGCGUUGAUGCUGCGGGCGGAAGUCAUCUACUGUAGAAGCUCGGAUGAAAACUUUCUGUUGGAUAAGUCCGUCUGGAGUCCGAUUACUAGAGAAGUCCAUCUGAAAUUUAUCCGAUGUAGAAACUUAUCUGAAGACUGUCCGCUGGAGAGGUCCAGUUGCAUGAGGAAUCCAGCAGAAGGUCGACCGAUAGCGGAGUCCGGAAGGCGUUGUGGAAGUUCGUCCG